UAGAGUUUGAUCAUGGCUCAGGAUGAACGCUGGCGGUAUGCCUAACACAUGCAAGUCGUACGAGAGUUUUUAACUCUAGUGGCGGACGGGUGAGUAACACGUGAGAAUUUGCCUUUAGGAGGGGGAUAACAAUUGGAAACGAAUGCUAAUACCCCAUAUGCUUUCGAGUGAAAUGGAUUUAUAUUUAUCCGCCUAGAGAGAAGCUCGCGGCUGAUUAGCUUGUUGGUAAGGUAAGAGCUUACCAAGGCGACGAUCAGUAUCUGGUUUGAGAGGACGAUCAGACACACUGGAACUGAGACACGGUCCAGACUCCUACGGGAGGCAGCAGUGGGGAAUUUUCCGCAAUGGGCGAAAGCCUGACGGAGCAAUACCGCGUGAGGGAAGACUGCCUAUGGGUUGUAAACCUCUUUUUUCAGGGAGGAAUCAAUGACGUGUACCUGAAGAAUAAGCAUCGGCUAACUCCGUGCCAGCAGCCGCGGUAAGACGGAGGAUGCAAGUGUUAUCCGGAAUCACUGGGCGUAAAGCGUCUGUAGGUGGUUUAAUAAGUCAACUGUUAAAUCUUGAGGCUCAACUUCAAAAUCGCAGUCGAAACUAUUAGACUAGAGUAUAGUAGAGGUAAAGGGAAUUUCCAGUGGAGCGGUGAAAUGCGUAGAUAUUGGAAAGAACACCGAUGGC
rnacentral:rRNA from 1 species